ACAGUGGACGCGAGCAUCUUUGUUGUAAGUAAUGAAGAGCGUACGGUGGAUGCCUUGGCACCAGGAGCCGAUGAAGGACGUAGGAGGCUGCGAUAAGCCUCGGGGAGCUGUCAACCGAGCUGUGAUCCGAGGGUGUCCGAAUGGGGAAACCCAGCACGAGUGAUGUCGUGUUACCUGCAUCUGAAUAUAUAGGGUGUGUGGAGGGAACGUGGGGAAGUGAAACAUCUCAGUACCCACAGGAAGAGAAAACAAUUGUGAUUCCGUGAGUAGUGGCGAGCGAAAGCGGAGGAGGCCAAACUUUGUGCGUGUGAUACCCGGCAGGGGUUGCGUAUGGAGGGUUGUGGGGUUUGCAUGUGAUGGUUCUGCCGGACUGUCCGACAGUGAGAAAUCAUGGUGUUAGUCGAAGUGGUCUGGAACGGCCUGUCGUAGAGGGUGAGAGUCCCGUAGACGAAAACAUUGUGACUGUCGAGUGUGGAUGCCCAAGUAGCAGCGGGCCCGUGAAAUCUGCUGUGAAUCUGUCGGGACCACCCGAUAAGCCUGAAUACUCCCUGGUGACCGAUAGCGGACUAGUACCGUGAGGGAAAGGUGAAAAGUACCCCGGGAGGGGAGUGAAAUAGUACCUGAAACCGUGCGCUUACAAUCCGUCAGAGCUGGUGCACCACUUGUGGUGGCUGGUGAUGGCGUGCCUUUUGAAGAAUGAGCCUGCGAGUUAGUGGCAUGUCGCGAGGUUAACCCGUGUGGGGUAGCCGUAGCGAAAGCGAGUCCGAAUAGGGCGUAUCACCUUCGUGGUGUGUAGUGGCGUGUUCUAGACCCGAAGCGGAGUGAUCUACCCAUGGCCAGGUUGAAGCGACGGUAAGACGUCGUGGAGGACCGAACCCACUUAGGUUGAAAACUGAGGGGAUGAGUUGUGGGUAGGGGUGAAAGGCCAAUCAAACUCCGUGAUAGCUGGUUCUCCCCGAAAUGCAUUUAGGUGCAGCGUCACGUGUUUCUCAUCGGAGGUAGAGCUACUGGAUGGUCUAGGGGGCUUACCGGCUUACCGAAAUCAGCCAAACUCCGAAUGCCGGUGAGUGAGAGCGUGGCAGUGAGACUGCGGGCGAUAAGGUUCGUAGUCGAGAGGGAAACAGCCCAGAUCGCCAGCUAAGGUCCCUAAGCGUGUACUAAGUGGAAAAGGAUGUGGGGUCGCGAAGACAACCAGGAGGUUGGCUUAGAAGCAGCCACCCUUGAAAGAGUGCGUAAUAGCUCACUGGUCAAGUGAUCCUGCGCCGACAAUGUAGCGGGGCUCAAGUACACCACCGAAGCUGCGGCACUCACACAACAGCCCGCAUCGUUCCUACGGGGAUGGUGCCAGGUGUGUGGGUGGGUAGGGGAGCGUCGUGCAGCCGUGGAAGCAUCGGGGUGACCUAGGUGUGGAGGCUGUGCGAGUGAGAAUGCAGGCAUGAGUAGCGAAAGACGAGUGAGAAACUCGUCCGCCGAAUGACCAAGGGUUCCUGGGCCAGGUUAAUCCGCCCAGGGUGAGUCGGGACCUAAGACGAGGCCGACAGGCGUAGCCGAUGGACAACGGGUUGAUAUUCCCGUACCCGUGUGAACGCGCCCCUGGUGAAUCAGUGAUACUAACCGCCCUGAAUCCCGGUGACGGAUCUCUUUCGAGAGUGAUGCGCUGGGUGGAUGCGUGGGACCUGAUCUGGUAGUAGCCAAGCGAUGGGGUGACGCAGGAAGGUAGCUGAGCCAGUCAGUGGUAAUACUGGUGUAAGCCUGUAGGGCGAGACAUAGGCAAAUCCGUGUCUCAUACAGCCUGAGAGGUGAUGCGUAGCCGAUUGAGGCGAAUUCAGUGAUCCUAUGCUGCCGAGAAAAGCCUCUAGCGAGCUUUCACACGGCCCGUACCCCAAACCGACACAGGUGGUCAGGUAGAGAAUACUGAGGCGAUCGAGAUAACUAUGGUUAAGGAACUCGGCAAAAUGCCCCCGUAACUUCGGGAGAAGGGGGACCUCGUCCGGUGAUCAUCCUUGCGGUGUGAGCUGGGUGGGGUCGCAGAGACCAGUGAGAAGCGACUGUUUACUAAAAACACAGGUCCGUGCGAAGUCGUAAGACGAUGUAUACGGACUGACGCCUGCCCGGUGCUGGAAGGUUAAGAGGACCGGUCAACUGCACUUGUGUGGUGAAGCUGAGAAUUUAAGCCCCAGUAAACGGCGGUGGUAACUAUAACCAUCCUAAGGUAGCGAAAUUCCUUGUCGGGUAAGUUCCGACCUGCACGAAUGGCGUAACGACUUCUCAGCUGUCUCAACCAUAGACUCGGCGAAAUUGCAUUACGAGUAAAGAUGCUCGUUACGCGCGGCAGGACGAAAAGACCCCGGGACCUUCACUAUAGCUUGGUAUUGGUGUUCGGUUCGGUUUGUGUAGGAUAGGUGGGAGACUGUGAAGCGGUGACGCCAGUUACUGUGGAGUCGUUGUUGAAAUACCACUCUGAUCGUAUUGGAUACCUCAACCUCGGACCAUGAUCUGGUUCAGGGACAGUGCCUGGUGGGUAGUUUAACUGGGGCGGUUGCCUCCCAAAAUGUAACGGAGGCGCCCAAAGGUUCCCUCAGCCUGGUUGGCAAUCAGGUGUCGAGUGCAAGUGCACAAGGGAGCUUGACUGUGAGACUGACAGGUCGAGCAGGGACGAAAGUCGGGACUAGUGAUCCGGCACCGGCAUGUGGAAGCGGUGUCGCUCAACGGAUAAAAGGUACCCCGGGGAUAACAGGCUGAUCUUCCCCAAGAGUCCAUAUCGACGGGAUGGUUUGGCACCUCGAUGUCGGCUCGUCGCAUCCUGGGGCUGGAGUAGGUCCCAAGGGUUGGGCUGUUCGCCCAUUAAAGCGG
rnacentral:rRNA from 1 species